UUUGAUGUAUCUUCAUGAAGAUGAGCAUGCAGCAGACCAAGAUGGAUGGUUUAAGCCAAAAUUGGAUGCAUUUGAAAGCUUUAUGAGGAAAGCUUACACAUGGAUUAAGGACACUGAAAGUGGUGAAGAAGCUCUACCAGUGUGUGAUGAUGAGCUCGACCACCACAUG